rnacentral:rRNA from 1 species
CCUACGGGCGGCUGCAGUGGGGGAUAUUGCACAAUGGGGGGAACCCUGAUGCAGCGACGCCGCGUGGGUGAAGGAGCGCCUCGGUACGUAAAGCCCUGUCAGCAGGGAAGAAAAUGACGGUACCUGACGAAGAAGCCCCGGCUAACUACGUGCCAGCAGCCGCGGUAAUACGUAGGGGGCAAGCGUUAUCCGGAUUUACUGGGUGUAAAGGGGGCGCAGACGGCGAUGCAAGCCAGGAGUGAAAGCCCGGGGCCCAACCCCGGGACUGCUCUUGAAACUGCAUGGCUGGAGUGCGGGAGGGGCAGGCGGAAUUCCUGGUGUAGCGGUGAAAUGCGUAGAUAUCAGGAGGAACACCGGUGGCGAAGGCGGCCUGCUGGACCGCAACUGACGUUGAGGCCCGAAAGCGUGGGGAGCAAACAGGAUUAGAUACCCGUGUAGUC